GGCGGGGUGACCCGGGGAAGGGGCGCGCACAGAGACAGAGGGAGCCAGCCGGGCCCCACGGUGUCCUCGGACGCCUCCGAAAUCUCCCUGCGUGUUUGUUUCUUCGGAGCUUCACCGGAGCCUGACUCUGGAACCGGCCUGUCUGCCUGCUGCAGUCUGCACAUCUUCACAAUGAAAUCUUCACAAGCUCAGAACCAUCAACUUGCUACACUGUGUUCCUCCAGUGCCCAGUUCACAGGAAGCACUCAAGAGUAGGAUCAAUUGUUAUCAACCUCUAGCAGAUUAUUGAAUAGACGGUCGUUACAUGAAACUGACACUCAGUUCUUCAUGGUCCACGAUAGUUCUUAUAUCCAGAAAACGUACUUACGUUAUCAACUCUGACUCCAUAAGACAACUUUGCAAAGUCUUGGCUCAUAACUAUUAGUGAAAUGGUGAAAAAUCAGACAAUGGUCACAGAGUUCCUCCUACUGGGAUUUCUCCUGGGCCCAAGGAUUCAGAUGCUCCUCUUUGGGCUCUUCUCCCUGUUCUAUGUCUUCACCCUGCUGGGGAAUGGGACCAUCCUGGGGCUCAUCUCACUGGACUCCAGACUCCACACCCCCAUGUACUUCUUCCUCUCACACCUGGCCGUCGUCAACAUCGCCUAUGCCUGCAACACAGUGCCCCAGAUGCUGGUGAACCUCCUGCAUCCAGCCAAGCCCAUCUCCUUUGCUGGCUGCAUGACAUAGACCUUUCUCUUUUUGAGUUUUGCACAUACUGAAUGCCUCCUGUUGGUGCUGAUGUCCUACGAUCGGUACGUGGCCAUCUGCCACCCUCUCCGAUAUUUCAUCAUCAUGACCUGGAAAGUCUGCAUCACUCUGGCCAUCACUUCCUGGACAUGUGGCUCCCUCCUGGCUAUGGUCCAUGUGAGCCUCAUCCUAAGACUGCCCUUUUGUGGGCCUCGUGAAAUCAACCACUUCUUCUGUGAAAUCCUGUCUGUCCUCAGGCUGGCCUGUGCUGAUACCUGGCUCAACCAGGUGGUCAUCUUUGCAGCCUGCAUGUUCAUCCUGGUGGGACCACUCUGCCUGGUGCUGGUCUCCUACUCACACAUCCUGGCGGCCAUCCUGAGGAUCCAGUCUGGGGAGGGCCGCAGAAAGGCCUUCUCCACCUGCUCCUCCCACCUCUGCGUAGUGGGACUCUUCUUUGGCAGCGCCAUCGUCAUGUACAUGGCCCCUAAGUCCCGCCAUCCUGAGGAGCAGCAGAAGGUCCUUUUUCUAUUUUACAGUUCUUUCAACCCGAUGCUAAACCCCCUGAUUUACAACCUGAGGAAUGUAGAGGUCAAGGGUGCCCUGAGGAGAGCACUGUGCAAGGAAAGUCAUUCCUAAGAGGUGUGACAUUUGAACUGCCAGCCUCAGUUGUCACGUGGACUCUUGAUGCCCAAUUAUUGCCUCAAUCCAGAAAAGUUUACUUCUCUUUAUCUGUGCUUUACUGACAGAAGGGCAAGUCUUCUCUCGUUUUUUGCAGAUAAAAUUUUAGAUGUGUUGCAUUCAUUGGGUUUCUAUGAGAUGUGGUUUUAUCAGACAAUUUUUUCUUUUAUUUCACAAUUACUUUAAUAUCUGUAAAAUAAAGAAUUAUUUUAAUUCAUUUUCCCAGUCCCAAAAGUUAAAUACAGGCCACUUACUUCUUUAACCAAAUGAUAUAGUUUGGCUCUGUGUCCCCACCCAAAUCUCAUGUCAAAUUGUAAUCCCCGCAUGUCAGGGGAGGGACCUGGUGGGAGGUGAUUGGAUCAUGGGGAGGGAUUUCCCCCUUGCUGUUCUGUUGAUAGUGAACGAGUUCUCACGAAAUCUGAUGGUUUAAAAGUGCAGCACUUCUCCCUUUGCUCUCUCUCUCCUGCUGUGCCAUGGUAAGACGUGCCUUGCUUCCCCUGUGGCUUCCGCCAUGAUUGUACCUUUCCUGAGGCCUCUCCAGCCAUGUGGAACUGUGAGCCAAUUAAACUUCUUUUCUUUAGAAAUUA
ensembl:lncRNA novel transcript